GGGGGUGACAUUGGCUUCGACGGGGCUAUAUGUUCUUUGAACUGCGCACCGUGUUCUCCGUAGACACGUUAAACGACGGUAAACAUAUUAAAUGGCGAAUAUAAUUACGCUUUAGCUGCGUAACCAAAACUUAUGCAGCCGUUCUUUAAGUCUCAGCAUACCGGGAUUUAUAUGAACGCCGUUUAGGUGUGCUAGCCAAACCGAAUACUCGAAUAGGUGAGGCAAAACUUU
rnacentral:tmRNA from 1 species